AAUUGCAUGCUAUAGAUGUUGCUUAAAUGAACAUGUUUUUCACAAAAUUUCCUUCAGAAUACCUCAUAAAUAAAUAAUAAACUUUUCAGUCAUGUGAAUCGAAGAUGACUUUAUUUAUAUAAGAGUUAUUCCACCCCUAAAGACUUUGCUCUAGCACCCAGUCUAUUUAUCCACUCAAGUAAACAGUAAUAGACCCCAAUAAACAGUAAUAGGCCAAAGCAUCUCCACCCUUAAAACCAAAUAGCCUAGUCAAUU
rnacentral:lncRNA from 1 species